GACGAACGCUGGCGGCGUGCUUAACACAUGCAAGUCGAACGGAAAGGCCCUGCUUUUGUGGGGUGCUCGAGUGGCGAACGGGUGAGUAACACGUGAGUAACCUGCCCUUGACUUUGGGAUAACUUCAGGAAACUGGGGCUAAUACCGGAUAGGAGCUCCUGCUGCAUGGUGGGGGUUGGAAAGUUUCGGCGGUUGGGGAUGGACUCGCGGCUUAUCAGCUUGUUGGUGGGGUAGUGGCUUACCAAGGCUUUGACGGGUAGCCGGCCUGAGAGGGUGACCGGCCACAUUGGGACUGAGAUACGGCCCAGAAUCCUACGGGAGGCAGCAGUGGGGAAUAUUGCACAAUGGGCGGAAGCCUGAUGCAGCAACGCCGCGUGCGGGAUGACGGCCUUCGGGUUGUAACCCGCUUUCGCCUGUGACGAAGCGUGAGUGACGGUAAUGGGUAAAGAAGCACCGGCUAACUACGUG
rnacentral:rRNA from 1 species